rnacentral:lncRNA from 1 species
UUCGCAAUAUUUUUUGGUUAACUUAUGAAUUGUCCCAAUAGUUGGAUUUGCCUAGCACUGCCACUAGGCACAUUCACAUAUUAUAAUUCUAUAAAUAAGAUGAAUAACAAAAAAUCAUAUUCAUAGGGGUAGAAUAUUGACUACACAUGCUAACCUUCUUAUUUGACUCCAUUAAUGUAAUGAUAAUUCGAACUUACAUGUACAUACAAUUAAAACCUUAGGCUUCCUUUAUACUCAUUUUGGUAGAUCAUGUAAACAUAAAUUUGCAGAUCCAAAUUUACAUUCUUUCUUUAGGUACCUACAUGUAUAUGAAUUUGUAAUUCCGCCAAAAAACCUCUGUGGAUUUAACAACCACAAAACUAUGCGUAUCAAAUACUGUCCAAUUAAACACCACUUACAAAUCCUUCCAUUUUAAUCUUUCCACCCUAAGCUCACCUUUAGUGCCUAAUCGUUCAAUACAUCAUGAAAAAACAUUCUUUAAUAAACUCACAACAAUAUUUCUCACACACAAACAUAUGAUCUCUCAUCUCUCUCUAUGUAUAUGUACUCCUUCCAUUCCAAAACAUAAUAUCAUAACUGAUUUUUCAAAGUCGAUUUGAGAUGUUUUCAAAUUCAAAAUAAUGUGAUUCUUUAACUUGUGAUUACAAUAAAUCUUAUGUAAUAG